UUCGCCGCCCAGGACUCUCGUCUUCUUGCGCAGCCUCGUUUAGGCCCGUGAGCCACUGCGUUAUCUUGGACUUGGUUAUUUAUUUGCGGGAAUAGUAAGGGCUGGGAGUGCAUCUGACUUCUAGUGACUCCCCACAUGGUCUGAGAGGGCCCUGGGGGAAAUGGUGCUAUGUGACCGAGCUACUGGUGGAAGGUGGGAGGAGAGAGUGAAAGUAAGAAGACUAACAGGCUGGUGCGGUGCUUAAAUACAAGGCCCUUCUCUUUUGCUUGGAAUACUGCAUGGAUCGUUUCUCCCAGAGAAGAUGACUCCCUGAAGCGAUUUUCAGCUACAUUAAGGCCCUGUUUUAUUCAUUAUGUAAUUCCAGGGUCUUCUAUAGUCUUGUAAUAAUAGAAAUCUAAUAAACGUUGAGCUGAAAAGAAA